rnacentral:sRNA from 1 species
GCUGGGCACGGUGAUGAGUGCUGAUAAUCCCAGCUACUCAGGAAACUUGAGAUGGGAGGAUUUCUUGAGUCUAGGAGUUUGAGACCAGCCGGGAUAACACAGAGAAACCCUGUCUCAA